ACACUGCCAGGGAUGGGGCAGCCACAGCUUCUCUGGGCACCCUGUGCCAGCGUCUCAGCACCCUCACAGGAAUGAAUUUCUUCCUAAAGUCUAAUUUAAAUC